UACAGAGGUCUCAAGCGUUGUUCGGAUUCAUUGGGCGUAAAGGGUGCGUAGGCGGCGCGGUAAGUCGGGUGUGAAAUCUCGGAGCUUAACUCCGAAACUGCAUUCGAUACUGCCGUGCUUGAGGACUGGAGAGGAGACUGGAAUUUACGGUGUAGCAGUGAAAUGCGUAGAGAUCAUGAGGAAGACCAGUGGCGAAGGCGGGUCUCUGGACAGUUCCUGACACUGAGGCACGAAGGCCAGGGGAGCAAACGGG
rnacentral:rRNA from 1 species